AGGAGGAGGCAGGGGCUGGGGGACCAGGCUUGGGUACCUUCAGGAACAGGGUAUCUGGAUCCCCAGGGGCCAGAGGGAAGACCAGGCUUCAGGAAUGAAGGGGUUACAGUUACCCAAGUGUCACCUGAGCUGGGCGUCAAGUUUCCUGGGUGCUGCCUCCGCCCCGGUUGGGGGAGGGGAAGGGGACGGCUGGGCCUCCCUGAGGAGACGCCCCCAGUCCUGGGUGAGAAGGGGCCUUUCCUGGGACAGGAAGCGGGAAUAAAUGGGAAGCUCGUCCAGGCGGGAGGUGGGGGCCCAGCAGAAUGCGGCGCCCCGAGGCGCCCCAGGCCGGCGCCGGACUCCCGCCAUUCCCCUGCCCCUUCGCCCCCCCCGUCAGGCCCCUCCUCGACGCCCGGAACCUUCCUGCCCCCAGCAGCAGAUGCCUGGACCUUGGCCCCUGCUGGGAGCGGCUGCGGGCCCGGCCUGACUCGGCCGCUGCAGGCCUUCCCGGUUAAUGAUCAGCCAGCAGCGGAGCCGGCGUCGGGGGAGGGUCUGAUGCGGAGGAGGGAACCCCGGAGCUUGGCCACCCUAGAGGAGGGCAGGCCGGCCCCAGCUGCUCACUGUGAGGGUGUCCGGCACCCGGGGCGGCACCGCGGCCGGCUCAUCGCCUACAGCCUGGUGUUUGAGGACCCUGCCUGGAUCCAGGAUUCAGAUUCAGACACUGACUCAGAAGGGCCCCGGGCUGCCCCAGGGGGUCUGGGCCCAAGGGUUGGGAUUGGGGGUGAGAGGAGUGGUCUCCCGCUGGAAGGUCCCGUAGCUGAGCUGGAAUGGGACCCCACGGGGGAUGUGGGGUGGCUGGGUACCUUCAGGAGCAGGAGAGGCUGGACACCGGGCUCCCCCUGUGAAGUGUGCGGACACAUGGAGCCCCUGGGGGUGAGUCAGAGCUGGGCCUUGGGCUGGGGCGGGGGGCUGUCUGUCUGUCUGUCUCUCCUAUGA
rnacentral:lncRNA from 1 species